GUCUUUUUGGAAUUUUAUAUAAAGUCUGACCUGCCCACUGAAUAAAGUUUGAAGGGCCGCAGUAUUUUGACUGUGCAAAGGUAGCAUAAUCAUUAGUCUUUUAAUUGAAGGCUGGUAUGAAUGGUUGGAUGAGAUACAAGCUGUGUCAUAAAAAUUAAAAUUUGAAUUUAACUUUUUAGUCAAAAGGCUAAAAUAUCUUUAAAAGACGAGAAGACCCUAUAGAGCUUUAUAUAAUAUUUAUUUAAAUUAUUAAGAUUUAUUAAAUUUAAUUUUUGUAUUAUAUUUUGUUGGGGUGACAAUAAAAUUUAUAAAACUUUUAUUUUUAUUUUACAUUAAUUUAUGUUUAUAUGAUCCAGUUUUAUUGAUUAUAAAUUUAAGUUACCUUAGGGAUAACAGCGUAAUUUUUUUUGAGAGUUCUUAUCGACAAAAAAGAUUGCGACCUCGAUGUUGGAUUAAGAGUAAUUUUGGGUGUAGAAGUUCAAAGUUUAAGUCUGUUCGACUUUUAAAUUCUUACAU
rnacentral:rRNA from 1 species